CUUGCUGACACUUUCAAUAGCUUUCAUUUGUUGUGCACAGGUUCUUCAGGGUCACAAGACAUUCCUGAAUGAUGCUUACAACUGGGAGUUCUUGAUCUGGGAAACAGCACUGCUGCUUUUCUUGCUUCGCCUGGCCUCACUGGGCUCAGAAACCAACAAGAAAUAUAGCAAUGUUUCCAUCCUGCUUACUGAACAGAUUAAUUUAUAUCUUAAAAUGGAAAAAAAGCCAAAUAAGAAAGAACAGCUCACCCUGGUAAACAAUGUACUGAAGUUGUCCACCAAGUUGUUAAAGGAGCUGGACACACCAUUUAGACUCUACGGACUGACCAUGAACCCCUUAAUCUACAACAUCACAAGAGUAGUCAUCCUUUCUGCUGUCUCUGGGGUUAUAAGCGAUCUUCUAGGAUUCAACAUCAGACUAUGGAAAAUUAAGUCCUGAGCUGAGAUGUGCGCCUGGACUCUUUUCUUGGCUGCUGUCAUUGCUCACCCACUGAGGACAAAGAUGGCUCACAGAAACCAGUGACCCCACCUGCAGGCUCACGUGCAGUCUAACUCAGCCCAGACUAACGAAUGGAGUUUCUGCACAUCCUUUCCCUGGGCACGUGUUAAAAACCUGCACUUUCAUGGUUCUCAAGCAACAUGAAUAGUCAGCAAACUAAAGCCUGCCUCACAGAGACUCGGGACUGUUUCGUGAGUCAGGACAUUUAUCUUGGAGCCUCCGGUACUGUGCUAGUUAUAUUUACUGUAAAUAGUCUUUUGGGUAACCAUGGCAGAUGCCCAAAGCAUGAAGCAACUAUCUUUUAUUGGAAAUAUGCAAAUGCAGUACUUUUCUAUUAUAGUCUAUGGAUUGGGGAUUUCUCUAUCAAAAGGAGAGAAACUAUUUUAGGUUGAAUCCAAAUAAAAGAACUUUACUAGAAAA
rnacentral:lncRNA from 1 species